rnacentral:tRNA from 1 species
GCAGUGAUGGUUCAGUGGUAAAAUUCUCACCUUCCAUGUGGGAGACCUGAGUUCAAUUCCCAGCCAAUGCA